rnacentral:rRNA from 1 species
CCGAAUCACCGCUCUGCGGCUAAACACCGCUGGGCAACAGUGCAAGUGCAGCUACGGGAAAUCGGCAAAUUGGUUGUGUACCUUCGGAGGAUGCGGUGGCUCCAGGGGCCAGGCCCCGGACAUACAGCCUGCCAGUCGGUCGGUACACCGGGGCGUGGUGCUGCCUGGCCUGGCCAGAGGAUGGAUGCAGGAGCCCUUUCCUGCCCACACCAUCCUGGUGUACAGUAUGCCACAAGCGGAUGAAGCCGUGUCAGGCCUGCCCGUUGGAACCCUGCGGGGCUUGGUCGUCCUGUGCCAGGGCUGGCUUCUCAGCCGUCCUCUGGCCGGGGGCGUCCGGGCUCCACCUCACCGAAGGCCGCAGCGCAUCUUUGGCGGGCGUGAUCCUUAUGCCUCGGAACGGCCAAGCGUGCCCCGCGCGCCGCGCUGGUCUUGGGUUGAGACACGGAGCUUUGGGUGUGCAAAGAAGAGAGGCUGUGCCUUCGGGUGCGGCCUGGCUUCAGUUCCCGUGGGCGGGGAGAUGGCCGACCUGAGACGUCGGCCCCAUCCGUGGCACCCACGUGUGGUCUACUCGGAACUGUGUACUACGCAGGGGAAUCUGACUGUUUAAUUGAAACAUAGCUUUGCGAUGGGACCUGCUGGCUGGUUCCGCGAGGUGACUUCUGCCCAGUGCUCUGAUUGUCAAUGCAAAGAGAUUUAGCCAAGCGCGGGUAAACGGCGGGAGUAACUAUGACU